rnacentral:misc_RNA from 1 species
CGCACAUUGCGCCCCUUGGUAUUCCAUGGGGCAUGCCUGUUCGAGCGUCAUUUGAUACCUCAAGCUCUGCUUGGUGUUGGGCGUUUGUCCUGUCAAGGGACUCGCCUCAAAGCAAUUGGCAGCCGAUGUACCGGUCGUGGAGCGCAGCACAUUCUUGCGAUUCCCGCCAGCACGUCGGCGUCCAGAAGCCCAUUUCUCAAUUUUGACCUCGGAUCAGGUAGGGAUACCCGCUGAACUUAA